UUAGUGGUGGGGUGACUGCGUACCUUUUGUAUAAUGGGUCAGCGACUUAUAUUCUGUAGCAAGGUUAACCGAAUAGGGGAGCCGGAGGGAAACCGAGUCUUAAUUGGGCGUUAAGUUGCAGGGUAUAGACCCGAAACCCGGUGAUCUAGCCAUGGGCAGGUUGAAGGUUGGGUAACACUAACUGGAGGACCGAACCGACUAAUGUUGAAAAAUUAGCGGAUGACCUGUGGCUGGGGGUGAAAGGCCAAUCAAACCGGGAGAUAGCUGGUUCUCCCCGAAAGCUAUUUAGGUAGCGCCUCGUGAAUUCAUCUCCGGGGGUAGAGCACUGUUUCGGCUAGGGGGCCAUCCCGGCUUACCAACCCGAUGCAAACUGCGAAUACCGGAGAAUGUUAUCACGGGAGACACACGGCGGGUGCUAACGUCCGUCGUGAAGAGGGAAACAACCCAGACCGCCAGCUAAGGUCCCAAAGUCAUGGUUAAGUGGGAAACGAUGUGGGAAGGCCCAGACAGCCAGGAUGUUGGCUUAGAAGCAGCCAUCAUUUAAAGAAAGCGUAAUAGCUCACUGGUCGAGUCGGCCUGCGCGGAAGAUGUAACGGGGCUAAACCAU
rnacentral:rRNA from 2 species